UACGAAGGGUCCAAGCGUUAUCCGGAUUUAUUGGGUUUAAAGGGUGCGUAGGCGGCUUAUUAAGUCAGUGGUGAAAGCCCGUAGCUCAACUACAGAACUGCCAUUGAUACUGAUGAGCUUGAAUAUACUUGAGGUUGGCGGAAUGUGUCAUGUAGCGGUGAAAUGCUUAGAUAUGACACAGAACACCGAUUGCGAAGGCAGCUAGCUAAAGUACAAUUGACGCUGAUGCACGAAAGCGUGGGGAGCAAACAGG
rnacentral:rRNA from 1 species